AGAACGAACGCUGGCGGCAGGCCUCAAACAUGCAAGUCUAGGGGGUGUAGCAAUACAUCACCGGCGGACGGGUGCGUAACGCGUGGGAAUAUACCUAUUGGUUCGGAACAACUGAGGGAAACUUCAGCUAAUACCGGAUGAGCCCUAACGGGGAAAGAUUUCUCGCCAAUAGAUUAGCCCGCGUCCGAUUAGCUAGUUGGUGGGGUAAAAGCCUACCAAGGCGACGAUCGGUAGCUGUUCUGAGAGGAAGAUCAGCCACACUGGGACUGAGACACGGCCCAGACUCCUACGGGAGGCAGCAGUUGGGAAUCUUGGACAAUGGGGGAAACCCUGAUCCAGCCAUGCCGCGUGAGUGAUGAAGGCCUUCGGGUUGUAAAACUCUUUCGACGGGGACGAUAAUGACGGUACCCGUAGAGAAGCUCCGGCUAACUUCGUGCCAGCAGCCGC
rnacentral:rRNA from 1 species